CUAUCAAUUGUAAAUAGCAAAUUAAACUUAGGAAUAAUCUCAUUGAGACAAAAACAGUCAUUCAAACAACUGUUCUACAGUUCGGUACCGCCAAUCGUGGUACACUUGCUGGAUUUAAGAACCUGAACAACGAUGAAAAUCAUCACAGUGCAACUUCAACACCAUGCCUAAGAGGACCCAUCAAGAAGCAAACAAAUCCAGCGCCAAGAUGGAAAAUAAUCAGAGCAAUCCUAAUCUCCUGCCAAAGCGAAUCGAGGAGCUGAAAUAUUUCAUCCGCAUGAAGAAUAUACGUAAGGAUCAGUAUCUGAAGA